GUCGCGCAUCAAGCUGCUGACGACGAGGAUGUCGGACCUCCGCAAGGCGUACCACUCCGUCAAGGCCGAGUUGGCGGCCAUCAAUCGCCGAAGAAAAAAAUUGAGACGCAAAGAGAGAGAGGCCGUGAAAGCCGCCAAGGCGGCGUGCUCGUGACGGGAGCGGCCUCUCCCCGCCUCGUUCGCUGUGCAAUGACUAAAAUGAGAGAUGCGGCCUUCGUUCGCGGGUGCGUCGGGUGCCGGAUGCAGUACGAUGGUAUAUGGACGGACAUGUAUAUAGUUGUGUUUAAAUGAUGUAUGACUCGAUGUUAUAGAAUUUUACUUAAUAAAGCGUUUGCACAAUA